CACGUAGUUAGCCGGGGCUUCUUAGUCAGGUACCGUCUUGCCUCGUUCCUGCUGAUAGAGCUUUACAUACCGAAAUACUUCUUCACUCACGCGGCGUCGCUGCAUCAGGGUUUCCCCCAUUGUGCAAUAUUCCCCACUGCUGCCUCCCGUAGGAGUUUGGGCCGUGUCUCAGUCCCAAUGUGGCCGUCCACCCUCUCAGGCCGGCUACUGAUCGUCGCUUUGGUAGGCCGUUACCCUGCCAACUGGCUAAUCAGACGCGGGUCCAUCCCAUACCACCGGAGUUUUUCACGCAGGAGCAUGCGCUCCCGUGCGCUUAUGCGGUAUUAGCACCUGUUUCCAGGUGGUAUCCCCCGGUAUGGGGCAGGUUACCCACGCGUUACUCACCCGUCCGCCACUAAGAUACUCAUUUCCAAAGUGCAAGCACUCCUUCCAUAAGCAUCCCCGUUCGACUUGCAUGUGUUAAGCACGCCGCCAGCGUUCAUCCUGAGCCAGGAUCAAACUCU
rnacentral:rRNA from 1 species